rnacentral:rRNA from 1 species
GAAUUUUUCGCAAUGGGGGCAACCCUGACGAAGCAAUGCCGCGUGGAUGAUGAAGUCUCUUGGGACGUAAAAUCCUUUCGACAGGGACGAAACCGCAAGGUUGACGGUACCUGUAGAAGAAGCCCCGGCUAACCCCGUGCCAGCAGCCGCGGUAAUACGGGGGGGGCAAGCGUUGUUCGGAAUUACUGGGCGUACAGGGUGCGUGGGCGGCUUUUUAAGUCGGAUGUGAAAACUCUGGGCUCAACCCAGAGCCUGCAUCCGAAACUGGAGAGCUUGGGUUCUGGAGGGGAAAGCGGAAUUCCUGGUGUAGCAGUGAAAUGCGUAGAUAUCAGGAGGAACACCGGUGGCGAAGGCGGCUUUCUGGACAGAUACCGACGCUGAGGCACGAAAGCUAGGGGAGCAAACAGG